CGGUAAAAAUGCUGUAAUCAGCGGGCUACAUGAAAAAUUACUCUAAUUAUGGCUGCAUUUAAGAGAAUGGAAAAAAAACCUUCUUGUGGAUAAAAACCUUAAAUUGUCCCCAAUGUCUGCUUCAAAUUGGAUGGCACUGCAGCUGGAGGCUUUGUUCAGAAUUGAUCCUGGGGAGCUCUGAACCCAAAGUUUCACAGUGGGAAGGGGAAAAAAAGAAAAGAAAACAUUUUUCCUAAUGUAACAAUACGAAUGGUAGAAAAUGACAAGACUGAUCGGUUUUAAACCACUCUGAAGACUGACUGAGCGUGGAAGUUGCUCAAAAAAAAAAAAAACAAAAACACCCCCCAAAAAACUGGUAUGUUGCUGCCAUGGAAAAUGACCAGAAAUCUACAAUCUGAGAAAACUCAUCCAUCAUCUUCAGGCAGUCUUCCAAUCUGUUAACUUUAGCUGCUACUAAUAAGUGUCUGAGUCCAGGAAAAGCAAUUAUUACGAUGUUUCACAGAAUAGCUUCCAGAUAGCAUAUGAUGUAAACUGCUCUUGGGCAACAUUUCUUCUAAGGAAGGAGACUUUUUUCUUCAGUAAGCAACUUCACCAAUGCGAGUGUGAUAAAAAUAUAGGUAAAGAGGAAGAGCUGUUGAAAAUUGGGGUUGACUGUAGCUGCUGUGGCCAUUUACACCUUCCAAAGACUUGGGUCACAAUGCUUUGUAAAGCCCUUGUUACAGGUUCAAUCAGCGUGCAGACUUUUUCAGUAGGUAUUUCAGAGUGUAUUCAGAAAGAUAUUCAGAUAUAUUCAGGUAUAUUCAGAGAGAUAUUACAUGUGAUCGAGAUGUUACCACUAACAUGUCACAUUACACAGGCCAAAUCAGGCAUCCUGUUUGACUGCCGGUUCACAUCCAGCAAGCGAUAUUUCACCUACUGUCUAACACACAUAGCCAGUAAUGCAGAACAAGCCCAAACUCAGUGCAUUAUCAUCUUUAUUUUUUAUUAUUGCUGUUUUGAGGCCCAUAAUAAAAGCGCAGCAUCACUGUAGGCUGCGAUCAGUGCCCUGAUCUGUAUGCUUGCAUGCGUCAAUCACUUGCAUUUUUUUCAGUGGUAUGCCACCACCACAUGUGGACAUGGUGCAGUGGCAGAGUGACCUGACACUGGUGAGCGUUGCUGUUAGGGUGUUGGCUGGCCUGGAAAGAUGGAAGCCUCUCCAAGCUAACAAUGGACUACUGUUAAGUGACUUAGGUGGAUAUCCUGCAGAUGUGGACAGGCCAGUGGAUGAACUCAACUGAGCUCCAAAUACAGAGCUGUUUCUUAGAGAAGGAGAAACCAAAAGAGAAGAGGGUCAAUGGAGCAGUGUAUGUUUUAUCUAGGACUACCUUCACUGCAGCCUGAUUUCUGUAACAGGGGACCUCUGGUGAGGGACUGGGGAGGAGAAGCUGGCAACUCAUCUGUGACAACAAACAUACAUCAGUAAAGCUCUCUACUUUAGGAUCUUAGAGCCAAUGCAUUUAGGAUCAGUCAGACAAUCAUAUGGUGGCAUCUUAUCAAACCUCUCUGAUAGUUUUGGGCACUGGCUAAUAUCACACCUCUUUAUUGAAAGUUGCUCACUACUAGUUCCUUGCUGUUCUUCACACAUCCUUGUAAGCAGAAGUUAGCUCAUGAGUAACUUUGGAAUCAAUUCAGUCUGCCCCACUAGACUCCUUGAUCUUGAUGGCUGUUGUUAGCAGGUGACAUUCAGCAUGCUUCCAGACACCCAUCUACCUCAUCAGACUGAAUGACUUGUCUUUUCAAUUCCACUUCUGUAGCAUAUUAUAGAUCGUCUUGAUGUGUUUGGAUUUUUGAUUGCAGACUUGCUUUCUGAUCCUUGAAGAAUUUGACACUAAGAGGAAAGCAUGGUUUGGAUUCCUUCUGAACAUUUCAGAUUAAUGUGCUAGAUCUUUCUUCAUAAUAUGCAAACAAAAUUCAGAUACCCAUUUACCUCCCAAGCAAAAUUUUGGUCUUCAAUGUUAUCAUUGUUUGGUAGGAGAAAUGAGAACAACAGCACCAUGGUACACAUGUAAUCUUUGUCUGGCUUAAAAGCAGCUAUUCAGUAUAUCAAGGUGUUUGCUUUAAAUCAUCAAAGCUGUUUUGGCCAGCAGAUGUGCAUCCAUACAAACAUAUAUAUAUAUAUAUAUAUAUUCUUAAAAUAUAUGUAGGCAUCCAGCCUAGCACAUAUAUGUCUCUGUGUGUGUGUGUUUUCCUUAUAUAUAUUACUUGGUUAUAUCUUGUACGUUAAUUCUUCCUAAUAAAUAUGUAAAAGUCCUUCUUACAUAUACAUACACAUAUAUAUAUAUACAUGUUCCUCCUCAGCGUGGCCUCUUGCCUCUAAUUGUUGAAGACUGAUAGAUGCCAGCAAACAAUUGGGGUUUGAUUUCCAAUAAGAGGGUAAGACACUUUGCUGAAAGGUCAGCAAUUGCUGUUUGGGUAUUGUUGGCUCCCUGGACACCUUGCAAAUAAGUGCCUGGAAAGGCUAAUCUUGCAUAAAGCUUGUGAGCUGAUCGGAGUUUGGCUACAGGAAGGUCUAUGCUCUGUGCAGGUCAUAGGCAGUUUAAAAUACUCAUCGCCUUAGUUACAUGUCCUUUGUUCUCCUGGGCAGUAGUUCUGCUAUUGUGAGAUGGAAGAUGUUAAAAAUAACUAUUUUCCAUGGUACAGGGGGAAUGAGAAAUGCUGCCUUACCAGGGUUUUUUUUUUUUUGCUUCAUGUGAAUUGGUUUUGGGCAUAAGUGAUGUAAUGUAUUAAAAUGUAAUAAUGAAAUUGUGAGCAGGAAACAUGCUUGAUUCCCGACAGCAUUAUGCUACCUGUAAUGUUGAGAAAGGUGAAAAUAAAAAUUGCAUUUCCUAUGUGACAGCUGCUCUGUAGAACUAACAGGAAGUCCAAGAAUCAUAUGAUUUCGAGGGUAGAAAUUAUUAUAAGCCUAGUGAACUGAAAAAGUGCUACUUCCUACUCCCUAUUGUAGCAGAAGAGUCUUUAAAUUUAAUAUGCAAAUUAAGAUGUGUAUGAGCAACAAAUAUCAAUUUAAAGUCACUCUUUGCCAUUAAUUUGAAACCAGAAAUCAUCACUGCUUUCCCAGAGACACUAAUUUUCAGUGAGAGCAGCUCUGGUCUCUCUGGCAUGACUCUGUUAUGCUAUUUUACAGCAAUGUGCUCAGCCUGUAAAGUACAAACUAUUUAUGAGUAUAAAAUUUUUAAUCCUGAUAUUCAUUUUCUUGUAUAAGACAACCUUGUUUCCUGAAUCUUUUCAGACCUAUCAUUCAGUUUAUGUUCAUAACAGGCCUUUGACAGUUCUGUAUCUCUUCCUAAUGCAAAAAGUCAGAGGAUAAACAAAAGUGUUCUUAUGUCUAAAUGAAAAUAGCUCUGGUCUAGAGCAAUGCCACUAAAGCACAAAUGUAACAGUAUCUAUUAAAAAAUAACAAAUAAAUCACUAGAUGUAUAAUACACCAUUCCAGACACACCGGACUGUAUUCAGAUUCAUAUGAGCCUUCUGUCUGACUAAUUUACCAUCCUGAGAGGUAUAGGAAAAUGGGUGGCAUUUUUUCAGUUUUGUACAUUGCAACUUAGUGAGGUCCCCAAGUUAGUAUUUCUUUGCAUUCUCCCUUUGUACUCACUGUGUUUGUCAGAAGAGUUGCGUGAAUGAAAAUAGAUCUGAAUUCUGCAUUGCUUUUGGGGGUUGGUUCAGCGAGGGUAGGCAGCUAAAGAAAGAUCUCAGGAGAGACUUCCACGACUUCUAGUCAAAUCAUUAAUGAAGACCUUUAGAACAUUUUGGUCUUCUGCCUUUCUGAAGAGAAAUAAUGAUCCUACCUUUGAAAAAGGUUUUGAAAUUGCCUGGGAUGUAGAUAUUAAUCACUGUUAUACCUCCUUGCAAGCAGUAAGAAAUGAAAGACUGAACAGAAAGACUGUUUUAUUAUAUUUACAACAAUGGAACUGGAAUAUAACAUUUUUAUUUAAAAAUCAAGCCACAGAUUAAGUUUUGAUUGCAGUAUUCUGUACUGAAAAUAAGAAUAAUGGAAGCAAUUAAGUAUUCACAGUCCUGCUCUCACACAAUCACCUUCCAUGGUGAGCCUGUUUAUGCAACUGAGUGUGCCAUACAAUUGUUUUUAUUACCUUCUUAUAAAACAGCCUGUAUAAAACACUUUUUUUUUGAUUGUUUCUUUGUGUAUUGUUGAGCAUGUUUGCAUUCUAAAAGGCUUUGCCUCAUUAAAGCAAUUGCUGUAAA